UACGUAGGGUGCAAGCGUUAUCCGGAAUCAUUGGGCGUAAAGCGCGUGUAGGCGGCCUGCAAGGUCUGGUGUGAAAUCCUGGGGCUUAACCCCCAGCUGGUCACUGGAAACCGUCAGGCUUGAGUCCGGAAGAGGAGAGUGGAAUUCCUGGUGUAGCGGUGGAAUGCGCAGAUAUCAGGAGGAACACCGGGUGGCGAAGGCGGGGUCUCUGGGGCAGUAACUGACGCUGGAGGAGCGAAAGCGUGGGGAGCAAACAGG
rnacentral:rRNA from 1 species